UACGAAGGGGGCUAGCGUUGCUCGGAAUCACUGGGCGUAAAGGGUGCGUAGGCGGGUCUUUAAGUCAGGGGUGAAAUCCUGGAGCUCAACUCCAGAACUGCCUUUGAUACUGAAGAUCUUGAGUUCGGGAGAGGUGAGUGGAACUGCGAGUGUAGAGGUGAAAUUCGUAGAUAUUCGCAAGAACACCAGUGGCGAAGGCGGCUCACUGGUCCGGAACUGACGCUGAGGUGCGAAAGCGUGGGGAGCAAACAGGG
rnacentral:rRNA from 1 species